CAGCCGCCACGGGAAUACGUAGGGUGCAAGCGUUAAUCGGAAUUACUGGGCGUAAAGCGUGCGCAGGCGGUUAUAUAAGACAGAUGUGAAAUCCCCGGGCUCAACCUGGGAACUGCAUUUGUGACUGUAUAGCUAGAGUACGGCAGAGGGGGAUGGAAUUCCGCGUGUAGCAGUGAAAUGCGUAGAUAUGCGGAGGAACACCGAUGGCGAAGGCAAUCCCCUGGGCCUGUACUGACGCUCAUGCACGAAAGCGUGGGGAGCAAACAGGAUUAGAUACCCCCGUAGUCCCUGUCUCUUAUAC
rnacentral:rRNA from 1 species